rnacentral:tRNA from 1 species
GGUUGUGGCUCAGAGGUAGAGCACUUGCCUAGCAUGUAUGAAGCACUGGGUUCAAUCCUCUGCACCA